rnacentral:tRNA from 1 species
AGUAUUGUGGCUGAAAAUAUAAGCGAUAAAUUGUAAAUUUAUUUAUAAAGUAAUCUUUCAAUACUA